AACGCACAUUGCGCCCGCCAGCACUCUGGCGGGCAUGCCUGUCCGAGCGUCAUUUCAACCCUCAGGCUCGACCUGGUGUUGGGGACCGGCUGUCUGACUGCCGGCCCUGAAAUACAGUGGCGGUCUCUUCGCGAGAUCCCCUGCGUAGUAGCACUACCUCGCAGAGGGACAGCGUCCUGGCCACGCCGUAAAACCCCCCACUUCUCAAGGUUGACCUCGGAUCAGGUAGGAAUACCCGCUGAACUUAA
rnacentral:misc_RNA from 1 species